GNUAAGUUUGAUCAUGGCUCAGACCUGAAGCGUUNGCGGCGUGGAUUAGUGCAUGCAAGUCGAACGGGUUUAGUAGCAAUACUGAACCAGUGGCGUAAGGGUGAGUAAGGCGACGGCAACCAACCCCAUGGUAUGGGCAUAGCCGCGGGAAACUGCGGGUAAUUCCCAGCGAUGUUCGUACCGGGCAUCCGGUGUGAACCAAAGUUCUGGCGCCGUGGGACGGGCUGUCGUGGUAUUAGGUAGUUGGCGGGGUAAUGGCCCACCAAGCCUGUGAUGCCUACCGGGCGUGCGAGCGUAGGCCCGGCACACUGGGACUGAGACACUAGCCCAGACUCCUACGGGAGGCUGCAGUCGAGAAUCUUCGGCAAUGGGCGCAAGCCUAGACCGAGCGACGCCGCGUGGAGGAUAGAAGGCCUUCGGGUNUGUAAACUCCUGUCGAGGGGGAGGAAGGGGUAACCUUGACCUAUCCCUGGAGGAAGCACGGGCUAAGUCGGCCACAGCCGCGGAAGACGAAAACCCGUGGGCGAAACCG
rnacentral:rRNA from 1 species